CCUACGGGGGGCUGCAGUGGGGAAUAUUGGACAAUGGGGGGAACCCUGAUCCAGCCAUGCCGCGUGUGUGAAGAAGGCCCUCGGGUUGUAAAGCACUUUCAGUGAGGAAGAACGCCUGGUGGUUAAUACCCAUCAGGAAAGACAUCACUCACAGAAGAAGCACCGGCUAACUCCGUGCCAGCAGCCGCGGUAAUACGGAGGGGGCGAGCGUUAAUCGGAAUUACUGGGCGUAAAGCGCGCGUAGGUGGCUUGAUAAGCCGGUUGUGAAAGCCCCGGGCUCAACCUGGGAACGGCAUCCGGAACUGUCAAGCUAGAGUGCAGGAGAGGAAGGUAGAAUUCCCGGUGUAGCGGUGAAAUGCGUAGAGAUCGGGAGGAAUACCAGUGGCGAAGGCGGCCUUCUGGACUGACACUGACACUGAGGUGCGAAAGCGUGGGUAGCAAACAGGAUUAGAUACCCUGGUAGUC
rnacentral:rRNA from 1 species